rnacentral:rRNA from 1 species
GACGAACGCUGGCGGCGUGCUUAACACAUGCAAGUCGAACGGAAAGGCCCUGCUUUUGUGGGGUGCUCGAGUGGCGAACGGGUGAGUAACACGUGUGUAACCUGCCCUUGACUUUGGGAUAACUUCAGGAAACUGGGGCUAAUACCGGAUAGGAGCUCCUGCUGCAUGGUGGGGGUUGGAAAGUUUCGGCGGUUGGGGAUGGACUCGCGGCUUAUCAGCUUGUUGGUGGGGUAGUGGCUUACCAAGGCUUUGACGGGUAGCCGGCCUGAGAGGGUGACCGGCAACAUUGGGACUGAGAUACGGCACAGACUGCUACGGGAGGCAGCAGUGGGGAAUAUUGCACAAUGGGCGGAAGCCUGAUGCAGCAACGCCGCGUGCGGGAUGACGGCCUUCGGGUUGUAAACCGCUUUCGCCUGUGACGAAGCGUGAGUGACGGUAAUGGGUAAAGAAGCACCGGCUAACUACGUG